GAUGAACGCUGGCGGCGUGCCUAAUACAUGCAAGUAGAACGCUGAAGCUUGGUGCUUGCACCGAGCGGAUGAGUUGCGAACGGGUGAGUAACGCGUAGGUAACCUGCCUGGUAGCGGGGGAUAACUAUUGGAAACGAUAGCUAAUACCGCAUGACAACAGUUAUUGCAUGAUAACUGUUUAAAAGGGGCAAUUGCUCCACUACCAGAUGGACCUGCGUUGUAUUAGCUAGUUGGUGAGGUAACGGCUCACCAAGGCGACGAUACAUAGCCGACCUGAGAGGGUGAUCGGCCACACUGGGACUGAGACACGGCCCAGACUCCUACGGGAGGCAGCAGUAGGGAAUCUUCGGCAAUGGACGGAAGUCUGACCGAGCAACGCCGCGUGAGUGAAGAAGGUUUUCGGACCGUAAAGCUCUGUUGUAAGAGAAGAACGAGUGUGAGAGUGGAAAGUUCACACUGUGACGGUAUCUUACCAGAAAGGGACGGCUAACUACGUGCCAGCAGCCGCGGUAAUACGUAGGUCCCGAGCGUUAUCCGGAUUUAUUGGGCGUAAAGCGAGCGCAGGCGGUUAGAUAAGUCUGAAGUUAAAGGCUGUGGCUUAACCAUAGUACGCUUUGGAAACUGUUUAACUUGAGUGCAAGAGAGGGAGAGUGGAAUUCCAUGUGUAGCGGUGAAAUGCGUAGAUAUAUGGAGGGAACACCGGUGGCGAAAGCGGCUCUCUGGCUUGUAACUGACGCUGAGGCUCGAAAGCGUGGGGAGCAACAUG
rnacentral:rRNA from 1 species